AGAUGUUUAAGACACACAGACACACCCAGCCUGUCAGUCUGAUAUAUAAGUCAGACUCACAAAAGAGACAUCAUAAACAGUAACUUCACUGUAAGAGACCAACACAUACAGACUACUGCUGCUAAGUUUAAUAGCAGAGAAAAUGAAAGCACAGUUCCUGAUCCUGCUCUUUGCUCUUGUGGUCUUGCUUGAGGGGACACCCACUGAUUCCACUGAUGACAGUGAAGUUAUUCCAGAGGAUGUGGCCCUAGCAGGAUUUUUCAAGGGUCAUACGACUGUCUCAUGGUCAGAUACAACAGAUACAGAUUUUGAAGGAGAGCAUGUGAUAGACAGCUCAUGAGGGGAAAAAGAAGCAGCUUUGAAAACCUUCCUCCAAACUGUUUCAGCCAAAAGAAUAAAUAAAGACAAUAAAUAAA